GAGAUGUUCUGCAACCCUCCCUCUAUCUAUAGAAAUUAAUAAAAUUGGCAAAUGGAAAAAAAUUGUAGACCUGAAAUGUCCCAGCUGACAGUGAAAAUACAGUGAGGGAAAAAAGUAUUUGAUCCAAUGCUGAUUUGAACGUUUGUCCACUGACAAAGAAAUGAUUAGUCUAUAAUUUUAAUGGUAGGUAUAGUUUAACAGUGAGAGACAGAAUAACAAAAAAAAUCCAGAAAAACACGUCAAAAAAGAUAUAAAUUGAUUUGUAUGUCAAUGAGUGAAAUAAGUAUUUGACCCCUUCGACUUAGUAC